UCAUGGUUCUGAUUGAGCCUGAUCCGAAAACGAAACAGAUCGAAUAGACGGAAGCACCCCACGGAUCGGUGCUCGUACUGUGGAUUGAUGUCUGAAUACAAAUUUCAGGACAACUACUCGGAAAGUUUCAACCCCCCGCUGGAUUCAGUUGAACGCUGAUUUAUCAUUGACUCCAUCCGAAAUGGCUACAUUUUUGUAUCUGCCGGGAAUCGCCCUCUCCGUUCUGUGCCUCUUGGGAAUCCACUUGUCGCCCACUGAAGCCCUCCCCACGUUUAAAGUUUGUAACGUGGAUGAUUUCUACGCCGCUAUGGAACAAGCUUGUGCUUACCCUCCGAUCGCCACCUCGAGAAGUGAUCGAGUAGCACUGACGUUGGAUCAAUUUGCAGAGAAGUGCUGCGCAAGGAAGUGUUCAAUAAGAAUGUUCCUCCAUCUUUGUGAAUAUCCCGAUAAGAGGUCCAUCUUGGUUAGACCAAGGAACUCAUGAAGCGUUUUCCAUAUUCAAACUGUUAUACGCCCACCACGGUUCUAUUGAAUCGAGUCAUGACACCACAUAUUGAAUGUUCUCCUAUUUAAAGCAUGGUUCACGUAUCUUGACAGAAACGAAAUAGCUUCUGUAUAUGCGCAAAUAAAACCAUCGACCGGAAACU